rnacentral:rRNA from 1 species
UACAGAGGUGGCAAGCGUUGUUCGGAAUUACUGGGCGUAAAGGGCGCGUAGGCGGCCGCCUAAGUCAGACGUGAAAUCCCCAAGCUUAACUUGGGAACUGCGUCUGAUACUGGGUGGCUUGAGUUCGGGAGAGGAAUGUGGAAUUCCAGGUGUAGCGGUGAAAUUCGUAGAUAUCGAGAGGAACACCGGUGGCGAAGGCGGCCUUCUGGACAGUUACUGACGCUGAGACGCGAAAGCGUGGGGAGCAAACAGG